GCAGCAGGGUAGCCUAGUGGUUAGAGCGUUGGGCUAGUAACCGAUAGGUUGUUAUCACGGCCGUUCCCUCUCUUGCCCUGGGGCAGCAGGGUAGCCUAGUGGUUAGAGCGUUGGGCUAGUAACCGAUAGGUUGGUAUCACGGCCGUUCCCUCUCUUGCCCUGGGGCAGCAGGGUAGCCUAGUGGUUAGAGCGUUGGGCUGGUAACCGAUAGGUUGGUAUCACGGUGGGAGGCCGUUCCCUCUCUUGCCCUGGGGCAGCAGGGUAGCCUAGUGGUUAGAGCGUUGGGCUAGUAACCGAUAGGUUGUUAUCACGGUAGGAGGCCGUUUCCUCUCUUGCCCUGGGGCAGCAGGGUAGCCUAGUGGUUAGAGCGUUGGGCUGGUAACCGAUAGGUUGUUAUCACGGUAGGAGGCUGUUCCCUCUCUUGCCCUGGGGCAGCAGGGUAGCCUAGUGGUUAGAGCGUUGGGCUGGUAACCGAUAGGUUGUUAUCACGGUAGGAGGCUGUUCCCUCUCUUGCCCUGGGGCAGCAGGGUAGCCUAGUGGUUAGAGCGUUGGGCUAGUAACCGAUAGGUUGGUAUCACGGUAGGAGGCUGUUCCCUCUCUUGCCCUGGGGCAGCAGGGUAGCCUAGUGGUUAGAGCGUUGGGCUAGUAACCGAUAGGUUGGUAUCACGGUAGGAGGCUGUUCCCUCUCUUGCCCUGGGGCAGCAGGGUAGCCUAGUGGUUAGAGCGUUGGGCUAGUAACCGAUAGGUUGGUAUCACGGUAGGAGGCUGUUCCCUCUCUUGCCCUGGGGCAGCAGGGUAGCCUAGUGGUUAGAGCGUUGGGCUAGUAACCGAUAGGUUGUUAUCACGGUAGGAGGCUGUUCCCUCUCUUGCCCUGGGGCAGCAGGGUAGCCUAGUGGUUAGAGCGUUGGGCCGGUAACCGAUAGGUUGGUAUCACGGUAGGAGGCUGUUCCCUCUCUUGCCCUGGGGCAGCAGGGUAGCCUAGUGGUUAGAGCGUUGGGCCGGUAACCGAUAGGUUGGUAUCACGGUAGGAGGCCGUUCCCUCUCUUGCCCUGGGGCAGCAGGGUAGCCUAGUGGUUAGAGCGUUGGGCCGGUAACCGAUAGGUUGUUAUCACGGCCGUUCCCUCUCUUGCCCUGGGGCAGCAGGGUAGCCUAGUGGUUAGAGCGUUGGGCUAGUAACCGAUAGGUUGUUAUCACGGUGGGAGGCCGUUCCCUCUCUUGCCCUGGGGCAGCAGGGUAGCCUAGUGGUUAGAGCGUUGGGCUAGUAACCGAUAGGUUGUUAUCACGGUA